GUGCCAGCCGCCGCGGUAAUACGUAGGGGGCGAGCGUUGUCCGGAAUUACUGGGCGUAAAGGGUGCGUAGGCGGGCUGUCAAGUCUGAUGUGAAAACUCGGGGCUUAACCCCGAGGUUGCAUUGGAAACUGGCAGUCUUGAGUGCAGGAGAGGGGAGCGGAAUUCCCGGUGUAGCGGUGGAAUGCGUAGAUAUCGGGAGGAACACCAGUGGCGAAGGCGGCUCUCUGGACUGCAACUGACGCUGAGGCACGAAAGCUGGGGGAGCAAACAGGAUUAGAUACCCUGGUAGUCCCAGCCGUAAACGAUGGAUACUAGGUGUUGGUGGGUUUACCUGCCAGUGCCGCAGCUAACGUGGUAAGUAUCCCGCCUGGGGAGUACGGUCGCAAGACUGAAACUUAAAGAAAUUGACGG
rnacentral:rRNA from 1 species